GUCAUGCUGUGGCUCACGUCGAAGGCAACAUAUCCUCGCGGCCUUAAUUCACUCGAAGGGAUCUGUCCCUGUCUGACCUCGUGGGGUCGGGUACACGGAGCCCACCUGGCUACCCAGGCUCGAGAGGAUUUAAACCGUCCUUCACGGCUCUUACGGCGCCGCC
rnacentral:other from 1 species